GAUGAAGAACGCAGUGAAAUGCGAUACUUGGUGUGAAUUGCAGAAUCCCGUGAACCAUCGAGUCUUUGAACGCAAGUUGCGCCCGAAGCCAUUAGGCCGAGGGCACGCCUGCCUGGGCGUCACACGUCGUUGCCCCCCCAUCUACUCCUUCGGGAUUGCGGGGGGCGGAUGAUGGCCUCCCGUGCGCCUCGUCGCGCGGUUGGCAUAAAUGCCAAGUCCUCGGCGACGCACGCCACGACAAUCGGUGGUUGCGAAACCUCGGUUGCCCGUCGUGUGCGGUCGUCGCGCAUCGAGGGCUCGAAAAAAUUGCCGGGCUCCGGCUCGACUUUCAACGCGACCCCAGGUCAGGCGGGGUUACCCGCUGAAUUUAAGCAUAUCAAUAAGCGGAGGA
rnacentral:misc_RNA from 1 species